GACGAACGCUGGCGGCGUGCCUAACACAUGCAAGUCGAGCGAGUGAAUCUCCUUCGGGAGUGAAGCUAGCGGCGGACGGGUGAGUAACACGUGGGCAACCUGCCUCAUAGGGGGGAAUAGCCUUCCGAAAGGAAGAUUAAUACCGCAUAAGAUUGCAGCUUCGCAUGAAGUAGCAAUUAAAGGAGCAAUCCGCUAUGAGAUGGGCCCGCGGCGCAUUAGCUAGUUGGUGAGGUAACGGCUCACCAAGGCGACGAUGCGUAGCCGACCUGAGAGGGUGAUCGGCCACAUUGGGACUGAGACACGGCCCAGACUCCUACGGGAGGCAGCAGUGGGGAAUAUUGCACAAUGGGGGAAACCCUGAUGCAGCAACGCCGCGUGAGUGAUGACGGCCUUCGGGUUGUAAAGCUCUGUCUUCAGGGACGAUAAUGACGGUACCUGAGGAGGAAGCCACGGCUAACUACGUGCCAGCAGCCGCCGCCG
rnacentral:rRNA from 1 species